GAUGAAGAACGUAGCGAAAUGCGAUAAGUAAUGUGAAUUGCAGAAUUCAGUGAAUCAUCGAAUCUUUGAACGCACAUUGCGUCCCCUGGCAUUCCGGGGGGCAUGCCUGUUCGAGCGUCAUUACAACCCUCAAGCUCUGCUUGGUAUUGGGCUCUGCUGGGACCGGCAGGCCUUAAAAUCAGUGGCGGCGCCACUCGGCUUCAAGCGUAGUAAUUCUUCUCGCUUCGGAGACCCGGGUGCGUGCUAGCCAGCAACCCCCAACUUUCUUAGGUUGACCUCGGAUCAGGUAGGGAUACCCGCUGAACUUAAGCAUAUCAAUAAGCGGAGGA
rnacentral:misc_RNA from 1 species